rnacentral:rRNA from 1 species
AACGAACGCUGGCGGCAGGCUAAACACAUGCAAGUCGAACGCAUCCUUCGGGGUGAGUGGCAGACGGGUGAGUAACGCGUGGGAACGUGCCCUUCAGUUCGGGAUAACCCAGGGAAACUUGGGCUAAUACCGGAUACGUGCGAGAGCAGAAAGAUUUAUCGCAGAAGGAUCGGCCCGCGUCUGAUUAGCUAGUUGGUGGGGUAAUGGCCCACCAAGGCGACGAUCAGUAGCUGGUCUGAGAGGAUGAUCAGCCACAUUGGGACUGAGACACGGCCCAAACUCCUACGGGAGGCAGCAGUGGGGAAUAUUGGACAAUGGGCGCAAGCCUGAUCCAGCCAUGCCGCGUGAGUGAUGAAGGCCUUAGGGUUGUAAAGCUCUUUCGUCCGGGACGAUAAUGACGGUACCGGAAGAAGAAGCCCCGGCUAACUUCGUGCCAGCCGCCGCGGUAA